UCUCUAUCUGGAGAUUGCUCCUCUUGGAGCUCUUCUGUGAGCCCAGGACACAGGGAUAUCCCCAGUUCCAUCAGUGCUCAGAGCUCCUUCCAGCUGGACCUCGGGUGUCUGCUGGGAUGGGACACCACCUCUCAGGGCAAUCUGUGCUACAGCCUUGCCAAAUGAAUGAAGGGAUUCAUCCUCUGGGAAGCACAGAAGCCACACCUGCCUCAAGCAGUUGAUAAGAUGAGAAUAUCUAUAAGCCUUCCCUAUCCAGUUCUCUGGUUCGCUGGGCUCUGCUUCUUCUCCACCCUUCUGGUUCUGUCCCAGUAUUUUUUUGAGCUCAGACACUCUCCCACACCAGAUCUGAUUUCUCACCACCGUGCAUAGCGACUCUGAAGCCUUUGCAGCUGGAGGAGGCACAACUUAGAUUUAGCAGGAGGAAAGCAAAGUGCAAGACAAUGUGUUCACAGUUACAGGUGGUGAAAGGCACAGCUCUUCGCAUAGGAUCUGGGCCAGCUGUGCAACAAAGGCUCUUCAUCCAUCUACAUCUAAUAGACUGCUGGGGAUGUCAGAGAGAAUUCAUCAGGUGAGGUUUCGAUGCCUCCAAGAGCCACAGAUCACUGUGCAGGAGGCUGGCCCAUUACUUUUUAGUUCAAGUGGGCUUGGCUUUUGUGCAGUUCUGGUGUCCUACCACAUGAAAUUUUUUGCAAUUCAUUCUGACAAGGUCUUUAAAAAAUAAAAUAAAAUAAAUGCAAUAUGCUUAUGCAAGACAUACUGUUUUCUUGACCAGAACUGACUCUUUGCUUACCAGCAUCAAACAGCCCGGCAGAAGGAGCUUUCAGUGCAAAAAAACCAGUGUGAGAAUGGAGAGUAAAGCCAAGUCACUGUGCAGAUACUGUCAGGAGCUGGUCUUCUGCUCAAAGCUUGUGUCAGUGAUGCUUGUUCUGUGAUUCAUGAUAAGCUCAUUAGAACUUGGAGUUACUAGGAAAAAAAAAUCCUCCACACCAAGUAAUAUGCUCAUGUCACUGUUGAAUUGGAUGUGACACCAGCAUACAUUUUAAAAAGUGCAUUUUUUAAUUCUAAAAACACUGUUGACAAAUACGUGUCCCAGUUUUUUAAGACUGAUCAUAUUUCUGUUCUCUAAGCAGAAUAAAGAUCAGCUCUUCCCUUUGUUGUCAGAAAUUCUAAUUCACUGCUGCCCACUACUGUAAUUAGUGCUU
rnacentral:lncRNA from 1 species